rnacentral:rRNA from 1 species
AUUGAACGCUGGCGGCAGGCCUAACACAUGCAAGUCGAGCGGAGCGGCGGACGGGCGCGUACUGCAUAGGAAUCUGCCUGGUAGUGGGGGAUAACGUCCGGAAAAGGGCGCUAAUACCGCAUACUCUCAGAUGAGCAUAGGUCGGAUUAGCUAGGUGGUGGGGUAAGGGCCUCCCAAGGCGAAGAUCCGUAACUGGUCUGAGAGGAUGAUCAGUCACACUGGAACUGAGACACGGUCCAGACUCCUACGGGAGGCAGCAGUGGGGAAUAUUGCACAAUGGGCGAAAGCCUGAUCCAGCCAUGCCGCGUGUGUGAAGAAGGCCUUCGGAUUGUAAAGCACUUUAAGUUGGGAGGCGUUACCAACAGAAGAAGCACCGGCUAACUUCGUGCCAGCAGCCGCGGUAAUAC